ACCGGGCUCCGCCAGUCUGCAGGGCUCGCCGCACUUGCUCCCUCAACUGCUCCCAAAGGCCCCUUGCCAGGUGCGCAGGCCUCAGGCGGUUGGUUCUCAACACGCAACAGAGGAAACGAGGCCCAGGGAAAGGAGGCUUGCUCCGCGGCCCAGUCUGGACAAGGCCAGGGCCUCACCUCUACAAUCCGUCCUCCACGCCUGGGGUAACGUGGGGACUCGGGCUAGAUUUCUAGCCGCCCAGGCCCCAUCGGCGCUGCUGCCCCCGAGCCAGCCUCCUAGGUGCUUCCGACCACAAACCAGGUUGAACUGAGGCGGACACAGGCAGAUGUGAACUAGGGCGGUGAAGGCCAAGUGCUUUGUCGUCCCGCCCGCCACCACCCGCCUCUCCGGGCGGAGGCCCGAGGCCGCCGGAGGCACCCCAGGGUCGGAGAGCACACUCAGGGGGCACAGAACGGUGCUCACAAUGUUAAAGGGAACUAAGUACAGCAGUUCUCCACAGCUGCCCGGCCUCAUGAGAACUGCAGCUACGGAGGGCGCUCCACCCCUUUCAGCCACACCCUGUGUCCGUGAACUUGUAUU